AGUCGAGGGGCAGCAUUUUAGUUUGCUUGCAAACUGAAGAUGGCGACCGGCGCACGGGUGAGUAACACGUAUCCNACCUGCCGAUAACUCCGGGAUAGCCUUUCGAAAGAAAGAUUAAUACCGGAUGGCAUAUUAAUAUCGCAUGAUAUUUUUAUUAAAGAAUUUCGGUUAUCGAUGGGGAUGCGUUCCAUUAGUUUGUUGGCGGGGUAACGGCCCACCAAGACAACGAUGGAUAGGGGUUCUGAGAGGAAGGUCCCCCACAUUGGAACUGAGACACGGUCCAAACUCCUACGGGAGGCAGCAGUGAGGAAUAUUGGUCAAUGGACGAGAGCCUGAACCAGCCAAGUAGCGUGAAGGAUGAAGGCUCUAUGGGUCGUAAACUUCUUUUAUAUGGGAAUAAAGUAUUCCACGUGUGGAAUUUUGUAUGUACCAUAUGAAUAAGGAUCGGCUAACUCCGUGCCAGCAGCCGCGGUAAUACGGAGGAUCCGAGCGUUAUCCCGGAUUUAUUGGGUUUAAAGGGAGCGUAGGUGGAUUGUUAAGUCAGUUGUGAAAGUUUGCGGCUCAACCGUAAAAUUGCAGUUGAAACUGGCAGUCUUGAGUACAGUAGAGGUGGGCGGAAUUCGUGGUGUAGCGGUGAAAUGCUUAGAUAUCACGAAGAACUCCGAUUGCGAAGGCAGCUCACUAGACUGUCACUGACACUGAUGCUCGAAAGUGUGGGUAUCAAACAGGAUUAGAUACCCUGGUAGUCCACACAGUAAACGAUGAAUACUCGCUGUUUGCGAUAUACAGUAAGCGGCCAAGCGAAAGCAUUAAGUAUUCCACCUGGGGAGUACGCCGGCAACGGUGAAACUCAAAGGAAUUGACGGGGGCCCGCACAAGCGGAGGAACAUGUGGUUUAAUUCGAUGAUACGCGAGGAACCUUACCCGGGCUUAAAUUGCAACAGAAUANAUUGGAAACAGUAUAGCCGCAAGGCAAUUGUGAAGGUGCUGCAUGGUUGUCGUCAGCUCGUGCCGUGAGGUGUCGGCUUAAGUGCCAUAACGAGCGCAACCCUUAUCUUUAGUUACUAACAGGUCAUGCUGAGGACUCUAGAGAGACUGCCGUCGUAAGAUGUGAGGAAGGUGGGGAUGACGUCAAAUCAGCACGGCCCUUACGUCCGGGGCUACACACGUGUUACAAUGGGGGGUACAGAAGGCAGCUACCUGGCGACAGGAUGCUAAUCCCAAAAACCUCUCUCAGUUCGGAUCGAAGUCUGCAACCCGACUUCGUGAAGCUGGAUUCGCUAGUAAUCGCGCAUCAGCCAUGGCGCGGUGAAUACGUUCCCGGGCCUUGUACACACCGCCCGUCAAGCCAUGAAAGCCGGGGGUACCUGAAGUACGUAACCGCAAGGAG
rnacentral:rRNA from 1 species